rnacentral:tRNA from 1 species
ACCUGACUGGCUCAGUCAGUAGAGUAUGUGGCUCUUAAUCUCAAGGUUGUGAGUUCAAGCCCCAUGUUGGGCA